UACGAAGGGGGCUAGCGUUGCUCGGAAUUACUGGGCGUAAAGGGCUCGUAGGCGGCCAACUAAGUCGGAUGUGAAAUCCCCAGGCUCAACUUGGGAACUGCAUCCGAUACUGGAUGGCUUGAAUUCGGGAGAGGGAUGCAGAAUUCCAGGUGUAGCGGUGAAAUGCGUAGAUAUCUGGAGGAACACCGGUGGCGAAGGCGGCAUCCUGGACCGGUAUUGACGCUGAUGCGCGAAAGCCAGGGGAGCAAACGGG
rnacentral:rRNA from 1 species